rnacentral:rRNA from 1 species
CAUGCAAGUCGAGCGGGCACCGCAAGGUGUCAGCGGCAGACGGGAGAGUAACACGUGGGAACGUGCCCUUCGGUUCGGAAUAACUCGGGGAAACCCGAGCUAAUACCGAAUACGCCCUUUACGGGGAAAGAUUUAUCGCCGAUGGAGCGGCCCGCGUCUGAUUAGCUAGUUGGUGAGGUAACGGCUCACCAAGGCUACGAUCAGUAGCUGGUCUGAGAGGAUGAUCAGCCUCACUGGGACUGAGACACGGCCCAGACUCCUACGGGAGGCAGCAGUGGGGAAUAUUGGACAAUGGGGGCAACCCUGAUCCAGCAAUGCCGCGUGAGUGAUGAAGGCCUUCGGGUUGUAAAGCUCUUUUGGCGGGGACGAUGAUGACGGUACCCGCAGAAUAAGCCCCGGCUAACUUCGUGCCAGCAGCCGCGGUAAUACGAAGGGGGCUAGCGUUGUUCGGAAUUACUGGGCGUAAAGGGCGCGUAGGCGGUCCUGAUCGUCGGAUGUGAAAGGCCUGGGCUCAACCUGGGAACUGCAUCCGAUACGGCGGGACUGGAGUGUGGGAGAGGUUGGUGGAAUUCCCAGUGUAGAGGUGAAAUUCGUAGAUAUUGGGAAGAACACCGGUGGCGAANGCGGCCAACUGGACCACAACUGACGCUGA